rnacentral:rRNA from 1 species
AUUGAACGCUGGCGGCAGGCCUCACACAUGCAAGUCGAGCGGCUCGUCCGACGUGUGAGUAAUUCCUAGGAAUCUGCCUGUUAGUGGGUGAUAACGUCCGGCAACGGGCGCUACUACCGCAUCCUAUCAGAUGCGCCUAGGUCGGAUUGGCUUGUUGGUGGGGUAAAGGGCUACCAAGGCGACGAUCCGGAACUGGUCUGAGAGGAUGAUCAGUCAAACUGGAACUGAGACACGGGCCAGACUACUACGGGAGGCAGCAGGGGGGAAGAUUGGACAAUGGGCGAAAGCCUGAGCCAGCCAUGCCGCGUGUGUGAAGAAGGUCUUCGGAUUGUAAAGCAAUUUAAGUUGGGAGGCGUGACCAACAGAAUAAGCACAGGCUAACUUCGUGCCAGCAGCAGCGGUAAGAC